GUAGGUGGCGAGCGUUGUCCGGAUUUACUGGGCGUAAAGAGCGCGCAGGCGGUCGUUCAAGUCGAGUGUGAAAGCCCCCGGCUCAACUGGGGAGGGUCAUUCGAUACUGAUCGACUCGAAGGCAGGAGAGGGAAGUGGAAUUCCCGGUGUAGUGGUGAAAUGCGUAGAUAUCGGGAGGAACACCAGUGGCGAAGGCGACUUCCUGGCCUGUUCUUGACGCUGAGGCGCGAAAGCUAGGGGAGCAAACGGGAUUAGAUACCCCGGUAGUCCUAGCCGUAAACGAUGGACACUAGGUGUUGGUGGUAUCAACCCCGCCAGUGCCGAAGCUAACGCAUUAAGUGUCCCGCCUGGGGAGUACGGCCGCAAGGCUA
rnacentral:rRNA from 1 species